rnacentral:tRNA from 1 species
GCGAGUGAAGCGCAAGUGGGCCGCGCGCCAGUCUUCCAAACUGGAGGGAGUGAGUACAAGUCCCACCACUCGCU